AGUCAGGCCGCUUACAUUUCUGA
rnacentral:siRNA from 1 species